UACGUAGGGUGCGAGCGUUGUCCGGAAUUAUUGGGCGUAAAGGGCUCGUAGGCGGUCUGUCGCGUCUGCUGUGAAAACUCAGGGCUUAACCCUGAGCUUGCAGUGGGUACGGGCAGACUAGAGUGCGGUAGGGGAGACUGGAAUUCCUGGUGUAGCGGUGAAAUGCGCAGAUAUCAGGAGGAACACCGGUGGCGAAGGCGGGUCUCUGGGCCGUAACUGACGCUGGAGGAGCGAAAGCAUGGGGAGCGAACAGG
rnacentral:rRNA from 1 species